GAUGAACGCUAGCGGCAGGCCUAAUACAUGCAGGUCGAGCGGCAAGUUGAGAAGCAAUUCGAGACCUAGAGCGGCGUACGGGUGCGUAACGCGUAUGCAACCUACCUCAUACAGGGGGAUAGCCCGGAGAAAUCUGGAUUAAUACCCCAUAGUACAUAUAGAGGGCAUCUGAAAUAUGUUAAAGAUUCAUCGGUAUGAGAUGGGCAUGCGUCUGAUUAGCUAGUUGGCGGUGUAACGGACCACCAAGGCGACGAUCAGUAGGGGUUCUGAGAGGAAGGUCCCCCACACUGGCACUGAGAUACGGGCCAGACUCCUACGGGAGGCAGCAGUAGGGAAUAUUGGGCAAUGGUCGGAAGACUGACCCAGCCAUGCCGCGUGCAGGAAGAAGGCCCUCUGGGUUGUAAACUGCUUUUAUCUGGGAAGAAAAGGCCCGUGCGCGGGACAUUGCCGGUACCAGAUGAAUAAGCACCGGCUAACUCCGUGCCAGCCGCCGCGGUAACAC
rnacentral:rRNA from 1 species